GAUGAAGAACGCAGCGAAAUGCGAUAAGUAGUGUGAAUUGCAGAAUUCAGUGAAUCAUCGAAUCUUUGAACGCACAUUGCGCCCUUUGGUAUUCCUUAGGGCAUGCCUGUUCGAGCGUCAUUUAAACCUUCAAGCUCAGCUUGGUGUUGGGUGACUGUCCGCUUCAUCGCGGACUCGCCUCAAAAUUAUUGGCGGCCGGUACAUUGGCUUCGAGCGCAGCAGAAACGCGAACUCGGGCCCGUCGUAUUGGCUCCCAGAAGCUAUCUUCACAAUUUUGACCUCGGAUCAGGUAGGGAUACCCGCUGAACUUAAGCAUAUCAAUAAGCGGAGGA
rnacentral:misc_RNA from 1 species